ensembl:lncRNA
AGCCUCCUGGGAAAUAACCACAUCUAUUGAAAAUAAAGGCUUCGUGCUAAGGUGCCUCAGCCAAACGCCUCAGAGGAGAUGUUCCGCAGAAUGGACGUGGCGCCCCCCUGCUGAGGACCCAUACUGCCGUCAGUUCCAUCCCAACACCUUUGACCCCUCUCGCUGCGGCUCCUGCCUGCGGCCGGAUCGUAUGCACCUUGGAGACCAGAGUAUUACUGCUGCGGCUGCUCAACGGGACGGCUCACCACAGUGGGAAGCAGACGAGGACACUUGCACACCGUCUGUGACCACAAGUGCCAGCAGCGAUGAUGUCAGCGGCGGUUGGAGCUACGAGUGGAAUCUGGUCCCCAGUCUGAGUCCCGAGUUGGAACUUAACACCUGUGACAGCGACAUAGAAGCCAGGUGACUCUAUCCUGUAUCCUGAUUUCAGAAACCACUUUUUUUAAAAACUAAAACACAUCGACUGACGGCUGAGCACCAGAAGUGUUUCAGCUCUUAAUAACACCGCUUAUCUUUCAACGAGUUAGUUAGUUUUAAUGUUACAUGCAAUGAAUAAGUCCUCAAUAUCUGUAUUCAAAAGCUGUUCCUGUGAUUUUACAGGCCGGACAACUUGAUAACUUCUUUGUGAUAUUUACCAGCGUUACAAGAUCCAUCCCUCGUAGUAAUCGUAGGCCCCUUCUUCCUGGUCACCAAUCCAACACAUUUUACAACUGACAACUCCAUCUCAUGACCUUCAACUGCCCUCCAGCUCUCCAAAUCGGUGGGACUGUCCCGAGGGGAGCAGUUCCCUCAGCUCAGAGCGCCACAGUGUGGCCCAAAGAGAUAUGACCCGGCUGGACCCAUCUGAAGCCGAAUACUCCUUUAUGGACGAGAGGAGGGCCAGAGACAGGUCCCACCGGACAUCAGAGUCCCGAGGAGACAGGGAACCAGAGAGCGGCUACUUCUCUCCGGACCGAAGGGGUGAUGGUGAGCGGUCGAUGGAGGAGGUCAACAAGCGGUCGUAUCGUUACUACGAGCGCGGGCAUCCUCUUCCCAGUAACUACGUCGCCGAGCCAAAAGCCUGCGUCCCCUACAGGAACGUCAACCUCGGCACGCCCUCCGAGAGGAGGAAUCCAGAGACGUACAUGCAGGAGGUUUGGAGAAGUGAAUCCCCCGAGAGGUACACGUACCACUCCAACUUCAGACGGGGAGCCGAUUCACAGAAUAGUUCACCAACACGUCACGCCUCCCUGAGCCCAGAUCGCUGCAGGUUCACAGAAUCUCCUGUGGGAACCCGGCGAAAGAGCUCCCUCUCCGUGAGUCAGUCUCAUGACUCCUCUCCGCUUCCAUCACAUGGCCUUUCCCGGCACACGUCCAGCAGGUCCAGUCCAUCUCGCAGGAGGGGUUCUGUCGCCUCUCGGACCGUCUCGCCCACCAGAUCCACCCAUUCUCACAGGCACGCCGACUCUGUCUAUUUACAGAACGGUGAGCGUGAUGCUCAGAGGAGGUGCAGCUCGGACUUGAGGAGUCCAUCGCAAGCUUCCUACAAACACAGUUUGGACUCUGAGAAGCUGUACAGGAAUCUGGAGUCUAUCUCACGCAGAGGCUCGUCCGCUAUCCAGCAACACUCAUUUGAAGAAUCCCAGGUGUCUCCUCGAACCAGAACAGCCAUCAACAGCUCGGCCAACACCCGCACUCGCAACAGCCGGCAAGUAUCACCGUGCAGGAACGGCUUCAGUACACACAGCCACACCCCACAAAGGGAGCCCGAGUCUAGAGACAGCAGACCGAGUCCAACUCACGGCUCGUGGCGAGGGUCAUGCCACUCUUUACUCAGCCUCCCACCCUCUCGCGGUUCCUCGUCCAGACGAAGCGCAGACUCCCAGAUGCUCGGUGGUUCCCUUUCACAUGUCGCAAUCACAGAAAGGGACAGAGGCCACGAGAGGAACAAUGAGGUCGGCGGUGACAGAAGCAGGAGUAACAUCAGGCGAGGCAUGGAGGCCUUGCUGAUCUCUGAACCCAAGAAGGCUGCAGUGGAAACAGAAGAGGUGGGGAUGACCAUGGAGGACUACAUUGUCCUGGCUGAUAUUCCAACUAUCCAGCUGGAGUCUGUGGAAGAGUCUCCGGGGAACAGGAGGAGGAACCAGAGUCCCAGCCCCUGCAGGGGCAACAGGCUUCGGGCCGACAGGUACCACGAGGAGAUGGUCACCUACAGUUCAAGACUUGAGUCGGACAAAAGGGGGAGAGUGAGAGAGAGAGGCAGAGACAGGCAAGAGAAAUGUCGGGACGCUGAGAACGGUCGGUCAUCUCGACGAGGGUCAGUCGCAUCGUUUCAUUCACAGAGUUCAGACAAUCAAAGUGGAAGACACAAAUCUUCAAAGGUGAAGAAGCGAGCUCCUCUGCAACGCCCGCAGACACAGGCGUUGUUGCUCGCAGGGCUGGAUGUCCAUACUGGAUGCGCAUGGCAGGUGGCAGAAACACUGGUUUGUUCUGGGUGA